AUACGGAGGAUCCGAGCGUUAUCCGGAUUUAUUGGGUUUAAAGGGUGCGCAGGCGGCCAUUUAAGUCAGCGGUUAAAUCGUGGGGCUCAACCCCAUUCUGCCGUUGAUACUGGGUGGCUUGAUUGCGGUCGAGGUUGGCGGAAUUCGUUGUGUAGCGGUGAAAUGCAUAGAUAUGACGAAGAACACCGAUUGCGUAGGCAGCUGACCAGAUCGCAAAUGACGCUCAUGCACGAAAGUGCGGGGAUCGAACAGGAUUAGAUACCCUGGUAGUCCGCACAGUAAACGAUGAAUACUUGUUUUCGGCGAUAUAAUGUCGGAGGCAAAGCGAAAGCGAUAAGUAUUCCACCUGGGGAGUACGCCGGCAACGGUGAGACUCAAAUGAAUUGACGGGG
rnacentral:rRNA from 1 species